UGGAACAUUAUGGCGUUACUGUGCGGUCCCUAACAACAGACCGCCACCCAGCCAUCCGGACUUACUGCCGCAUAAAGAAGCCUGGCAUGCCACAUUACUUUGAUGUCUGGCACAUAAAUAAAGAUGUG
rnacentral:lncRNA from 1 species